AUGGCCCAGGUGAGACGCCCGGUCCCAUUCCGAACCCGGAAGCUAAGGCCUGGCACGGCGAUGGUACUGCACCCGACAGGGUGUGGGAGAGUAGCACGCCGCCGCAC
rnacentral:rRNA from 2 species